CUUCUUCAAACAAAGAGGCAUAUAGUUUAUAAUUUGGUGUACUUGCUUCUCAAAUUGGUGUUGCUGCUACCAGUGUUGACCGCAAGUGUUGAAAGAGCAUUUUGUGCAAUGAGUUUGGUCAAGAGCAAGCCAAGAAAUAAGAUGGUUGAUAGUCUGUUGGAUGAUUGUCUAGUCACAUACAUUGAGCGAGAUGCUUUCUCCAAAGUGAUGAUGAUAUAA
rnacentral:rRNA from 1 species